rnacentral:rRNA from 1 species
CCUACGGGAGGCUGCAGUCGAGAAUCUUGGGCAAUGCACGAAAGUGUGACCCAGCGACGCCGCGUGGAGGAAGAAGGCCCUUGGGUUGUAAACUCCUUUUAUGUGGGAAGCGGUACCACAUGAAUAAGCCACGGCUAACUACGUGCCAGCAGCCGCGGUAAUACGUAGGUGGCAAGCGUUGUCCGGAUUUACUGGGCGUAAAGGGUAUGCAGGCGGGUUUUUAAGUAGAAAGUGAAAUGUAGGAGCUCAACUCCUGCCCUGCUUUCUAUACUGGGAGCCUUGAGUGUCGGAGAGGAAGAGGGAACUGCACGUGUAGCGGUGAUAUGCGUUGAGAUGUGCAGGAACACCAAUGGCGAAAGCACUCUUCUGGACGAUACUGACGCUGAGAUACGAAAGCCAAGGGAGCGAACAGGAUUAGAUACCCUGGUAGUC